AGUUAAUUGGUAUGGGACUAUGAAGUCCCAAAGGGGGGAAUAUAUAUUUUUCUCUCCCUCUGUGAUUCAAAUAUUAUAUGGAACUAUGAAGCCCCAAAGGGGGGAUUGUAGUGUAAAAGUUAAUCCCUAAUCAAGUAAAAGUGUUAUACUGCAUAAGUUGAUUAAGAGACAAAAGCCACAUAACCACCAUAUAACCAUGUUUUAUGUAUAAGUUCCUAUAAAACUGAUUGAGAUGCAUCUAUAUGCGUUAAAGCAUUGUUAUACAUGUCAAAGUGUUCACAAUACAAAGUUAUGAGCUCACAUUGUAUUCACAUACUGAAGAGCACACAUAUAACCUAUCAUGUUCUGUUUAAUGAUAACACACACACACAUUCAAAUGUUUGUAUUACCUGAUGCACAUUUAAAGGUUCACAUUGCAUAAGAGCACAAGGGACUGCAUAAAGAAAGUCCCUAAAAUUCACAUGUUUUUUAAAAAAUAAAGUGAAAGUAGAUCCAGAUGUAAGGGUGGAAAAUUUGGGAAACUCCAGGCCCAAAGUGAAACUCCAGGCCCAAAGUGAAAGUGAUUACACCAUUAAAAACGGGCCUGUUCAUGAUUGGACAAAAGGAAAAAAGCUUGCCACCAAUAGAUUUGGAUUUGAGUGGGAUGGAUUAAUGAAAAGAGGUGGAGACUCUACCCAGUCUCCACCAGCAUAAAUGCGAGCGUACUAAGAGCGAGUUUUCAGUCCUGCUCCGGGGCUUGACUCAUGAGUUCUAUGUGUUGAAGCUUGUGAACACAUUAAACUUGAUUGCAUCGGACUCUGCCUGUCUCCAGUGUUUCUUUGAGUAUUAAUUAGAUGAACCCAAGGUACUAAACUGACAUCAGAGGACAACUGAGAAGCAACGCUGAGGACAAGGUCGGGAGCCUCCAGGCCCAAUUCCAGGCACCGAUUUUUGCCUCUUCAGAUCGUAUGUCAAUGUCACCGCCAUGUUCCUUAGAUCAAGACUGACCCGUGCUUUUGCACCUUUGCUGCUUGUGUGUGUGGGGGGGUGUAUUUAUUUCUUUGGCAAAAGGCUAAAAUGAAAAAAAUGAAGGCAGUGACAACCAACCUCUCUUUUUCAUGCUGCUUAAUCAUUUAGAUAUCUACAUCCGAGCUGGAAUCUUUUCAAAACCAUAUUCUAAUGUAUGCAUUGAAGAGGUUUUCUUACUCCCCCCCUGUCUAUGAGGCAAGGACCAUCCUUGCUGCGCUGGACUACAACUACCACAAGAGUCGUCCAGCCAAAAUAAACGCACAUGGAGAGACUGUGAUGGGCAGUGUUCAAGAAGAGGUCCAAUCGAUGGACCUUGUACACUGAAAAAACUCCAAAGACAUACAGUUACAUUCCCAACCUGCAGAGGCAUAUACUGGAAAAGAGGGUGUCAUCAGAAGGAGGUCUCCCAAAAGUCAUGAAGCAAAGACCCAGUGAUCCCCGGAGACUUCUCCCUGUCCUUCCACCACCAUCGACCCAAGACCUUGUUCAGGCCCAUGUCAGCAGAGGUCAUGGACCUGUCUUGCAGCAGAGUCCAACAGCUGUUGAUUAGAUGGAAUCACAGACAUCAAGACGCCGUCCUGAAGUCAUUUAAAGAGGGAACAGAUAACGUCUGAAGACAUGCAGCUGAACACCUAAAACAUGCUACAACAAGAAGAGGAUGGGGGGCAAUAUUAACUCUUCAUCCCUGGAGCCCCU